GGAUAUCUUAUAAAACCAGGAAAGGUGAACAUACUUCAAACCACAUGAGUCAUAUUUAAUUAAAGAAGAAGUGAUGGAAAAUCAGUAUGAUGGUCUGGAUGUCUGCAACAAAGAGUUUAGAAAUAUCCUAUUAGAGGAGGUUCUUGAACCUAUGUUGGAUGGUCUAAAAAGAGAAGAGGGAACCCAGCCAACAUGGUCAGGAAUUGCGAGGAAGGAGUCUUAAAAGCUUGAAGAAACACUGGGGGU
rnacentral:lncRNA from 1 species